GGGAAUGUGGCUAAGUGGUAGAGUGUUUGCCUACCAUGCAUGAAGUCUUGGGUUCGAUUCCUCAGUACCA
rnacentral:tRNA from 1 species